rnacentral:rRNA from 1 species
UACGGAGGGUGCGAGCGUUGUCCGGAAUCACUGGGCGUAAAGGGCGCGUAGGCGGCCCGUCAAGCGUGUGGUGAAAGCCCGGGGCUCAACCCCGGGUCGGCCGUGCGGACUGGCGGGCUCGAGCACUGUAGGGGCGGGUGGAAUUCCGGGUGUAGCGGUGGAAUGCGUAGAGAUCCGGAAGAACACCGGUGGCGAAGGCGGCCUGCUGGGCUAUGGCUGACACUGAGGCGCGACAGCGUGGGGAGCAAACAGG